rnacentral:tRNA from 7 species
GCCCCAUUAGCUCAGUUGGUAGAGCGUCGUGCUUAUGUUUCGCUGUGGAAGCAUGCUAGAGUCACGCGGACGUCGCCAGUUCGAUCCUGGCAUGGGGCA